UUAUUUUCUUCGAAUUUUGUUUAAUAAUACAGAUAACACCCUGCAAAAAAUAAGAAUUAAGGAUGAAAUUACUGUGCUUAAUUUUUCUGAUAUGCCUAACUGGUAUCAUGUGUGAUCCAGUGCGUGGUCCAGAGAUAUGCCCCAAGAGAGACAUGCUAACUUGCGAAAAUUUUUGUAAAGUGGCACCUAAAAAUGCUUUAUGUACAUUGGUUACUGUUCCCUGUAUAUGUCCAUAACACAAAGUAUCAACAUACUGUAGUAUUUUUCAAGGAUGUGCAAUUAAUGUUAAGCAAUGUUGUAUUUUAAAUUUAAUUUUGAAAAUAUUAUAAGUUCAAUAUUUUUAAAUUUAAAACAA